rnacentral:rRNA from 1 species
GUGCCAGCAGCCGCGGUAAUACGAAGGGGGCUAGCGUUGUUCGGAAUUACUGGGCGUAAAGCGCGCGCAGGCGGUUUCUCAAGUCAGUGGUGAAAGCCCGGAGCUCAACUCCGGAACUGCCAUUGAAACUGUGAAACUUGAGGACGAGAGAGGUGAGUGGAAUUCCCAGUGUAGAGGUGAAAUUCGUAGAUAUUGGGAAGAACACCGGUGGCGAAGGCGGCUCACUGGCUCGUUUCUGACGCUCAGGCGCGACAGCGUGGGGAUCAAACAGGAUUAGAAACCCCUGUAGUCC